AACGAACGCUGGCGGCAUGCCUAACACAUGCAAGUCGAACGAGACCUUCGGGUCUAGUAGCGCACGGGGGCGUAACGCGGGGGAACCUGCCCAUAGGAUCGGAAUAACUCCCCGAAGGGAGUGCGAAGACCGGCGAAUGUCUUCGGACCAAAGGUUUAAGGCCUUUGGAUGGGCCCGCGUGGGAUUAGCUGGUUGGUAGGGUAAAAGCCUACCAAGGCGACGAUCCGUAGCUGGUCAGAGAGGAUGGUCCACCACUCUGAGACUGAGACGCGGCCCAGACUCCUGCGGGAGGCAGCAGUGGGUGAUAUUGCACUACGGGCUGAGGGCUGAUCCACCUAUGCCUCGUGAGUGCUGAUGGCCUUAGGGUUGUACAGCUCUUUUACCCGGGCGGAUAAUGACAGUACCGGGAGAAUAAGCUCCGGCUAACUCCGUG
rnacentral:rRNA from 1 species